rnacentral:rRNA from 1 species
AGUGAACGCUGGCGGUAGGCCUAACACAUGCAAGUCGAACGGCAGCACAGUAAGAGCUUGCUCUUACGGGUGGCGAGUGGCGGACGGGUGAGGAAUACAUCGGAAUCUACUUUUUCGUGGGGGAUAACGUAGGGAAACUUACGCUAAUACCGCAUACGACCUACGGGUGAAAGCAGGGGAUCUUCGGACCUUGCGCGAUUGAAUGAGCCGAUGUCGGAUUAGCUAGUUGGCGGGGUAAAGGCCCACCAAGGCGACGAUCCGUAGCUGGUCUGAGAGGAUGAUCAGCCACACUGGAACUAAGACACGGUCCAGACUCCUACGGGAGGCAGCAGUGGGGAAUAUUGGACAAUGGGCGCAAGCCUGAUCCAGCCAUACCGCGUGGGUGAAGAAGGCCUUCGGGCUGUAAAGCCCUUUUGUUGGGAAAGAAAAGCAGCAGGUUAAUACCCCGCUGUUCUGACGGUACCCAAAGAAUAAGCACCGGCUAACUUCGUG